rnacentral:rRNA from 1 species
AUUGAACGCUGGCGGAAUGCUUUACACAUGCAAGUCGAACGGCAGCACGGACUUCGGUCUGGUGGCGAGUGGCGAACGGGUGAGUAAUACAUCGGAACGUGCCCAGUCGUGGGGGAUAACGUAGUGAAAAUUACGCUAAUACCGCAUACGAUCUAUGGAUGAAAGCGGGGGAUCGCAAGACCUCGCGCGAUUGGAGCGGCCGAUAGCAGAUUAGGUAGUUGGUGAGGGAAAGGCUCACCAAGCCAACGAUCUGUAGCUGGUCUGAGAGGACGACCAGCCACACUGGAACUGAGACACGGACCAGACUCCUACGGGAGGCAGCAGUGGGGAAUUUUGGACAAGGGACGCAAGUCUGAUCCAGCCAUUCCGCGUGCAGGACGAAGGCCUUCGGGUUGUAAACUGCUUUUGUACGGAACGAAAAGGUCUCUAUUAAUACUAGGGGCUCAUGACGGUACCGUAAGAAUAAGCACCGGCUAACUACGUGCCAGCCGCCGCCGUAA